rnacentral:misc_RNA from 1 species
CCAGAUAGAAGCCUCUUAGGCGCUAUCCCCACCCGUGUUUAUAUACUAUUGUUGCUUUGGCGGGCCGUGGCCUCCACUGCGGGUUCUACUCGCAUGUGCCCGCCAGAGGACUAAAAUCUGAAGUUUAGUGAUGUCUGAGUACUAUAUAAUAGUAA